rnacentral:rRNA from 1 species
GAUGAACGCUGGCGGCGUGCCUAAUACAUGCAAGUCGAGCGAACGGACGAGAAGCUUGCUUCUCUGAUGUUAGCGGCGGACGGGUGAGUAACACGUGGAUAACCUACCUAUAAGACUGGGAUAACUUCGGGAAACCGGAGCUAAUACCGGAUGAUAUUUUGAACCGCAUGGUUCAAAAGUGAAAGACGGUCUUGCUGUCACUUAUAGAUGGAUCCGCGCUGCAUUAGCUAGUUGGUAAGGUAACGGCUUACCAAGGCAACGAUGCAUAGCCGACCUGAGAGGGGGAUCGGCCACACUGGAACUGAGACACGGUCCAGACUCCUACGGGAGGCAGCAGUAGGGAAUCUUCCGCAAUGGGCGAAAGCCUGACGGAGCAGCGCCGCGUGAGUGAUGAAGGUCUUCGGAUCGUAAAACUCUGUUAUUAGGGAAGAACAUAUGUGUAAGUAACUGUGCACAUCUUGACGGUACCUAAUCAGAAAGCCACGGCUAACUACGUG